CUUUGCACCUGGAGGGGGCUGGUGAAGCCCCCUUGGAGAGUUGGAGUUCCUUUCUUCCUUCGCUCCGGGGAAGCAUGUGGUACCUCUGCAGGUUACAGAGGUGUGGGUCUACGGGCCCCUGCCGCAUUAGUCACGGGACCAGUCCCAGCCGGCCCAUAAACUGCCAGCACUUUUUUUUUCUCCUUUCUUUCUUUUCCGGGCCGGUGGGCCUGUGGGCCUGCUGUCCCCCUGUCUUGGACACAGAUCCAAAGAUAACUCCGUGACACCGUUGACCUCCACAGAAUUUGUGGUGCACUCAGAGCACAAGCGCAGCCUCCCCUGCCCCUUUGGUUCCCUGCCUCUCUCACCGCCGCGGCAGGAUUCAAACCAGAGAAGGCUCCAUGCCUCAACCCACCCAUUCCUGAGGGGUGAGUUAAUUCCUUUUACUUUACUAUCUUGUUCUGUGGUGCCUGGAUCUUAAAUAAAGGCUCACUCAUAGCCUUUGUUUGCUUUACAUGUGUUUAUACCUGUAGGCUUUAUUAUGGAUGGUAAGUUACAGUUGGAGUUGUCUGCAAUACAUUAGUGGCAAAUGUAUUUUCUUCGGAUGAAAUUCUUGCAUCUCCUUGAAUAGACA